CUUAGCAACAAGUGGUUGACUUGUUAAGAGCAAGGCUGACUCAUUGAUGAAUCACAGGGGUCCUUGUGGAUUCAAGUGAUCGUUGGGACUUUGAGAUUGCCUCCAAGAUAAAAUUUUGAAUAAAGAUGGACAGUUGACUUAAUAUUUCUUGGACUUGUUAAAGAAGUUUUAUCAAAAGAAACAAACACAUACACACACACA